rnacentral:rRNA from 1 species
CUAGGUCAUGCUAGUACGGCGAGUGACAGGCAGAGCUCAGAUUUGAAAGGCACUUUUGUGCCGUUGUAUUCUGAAGUUAGGGUCCUGAGAAACGAUGCUUAAGUCUUCUGGAAAGGAGCGCCAUGGAGGGUGAUAGCCCCGUCUAGCAUUGACCUCAUAUAGGAUCUUAACAUGGAGUCGAGUUGUUUGGGAAUGCAGCUCAAAUGGGUGGUAUGCUCCAUCUAAAGCUAAAUAUCUGCGAGAGACCGAUAGUAAACAAGUACUGUGAGGGAAAGAUGAAAAGAACUUUGAAAAGAGAGUGAAAAAGUACGUGAAAUUGUUGAAAUGGAAGGGUAGGCCGCUAACCAUGUAGAGCCGUGUUUGGGGGGAAGAUAAAUGCUGUAGAAUGUAGCUCCUCGGAGUAUUAUAGAUGCAGUUCAUAUUCCCACCCGAGCGCGAGGAUCUCAGGUUCUACUAAAUGGUGGUCUACCACCCGUCUUGAACCACGGACCA